rnacentral:rRNA from 1 species
AGGUAAUAUUAAUAAAAAAAACCUUUUCAUUUUGGCGGCCUUUCUCUCUAGAUAGAGGAACUUGUCCUUUAAUCGAUAUCCCGCGAUAACUUUCACUUUUUUUAUGUUUUUAUACCGCCGUCUAGAAUAAUAUUAAAACAUUAUUUUUCAUAGAUUAUUCUUUUAUGUCAGGUCAAGGUGAAACAAUAAAGAAGUUUAAGACGAGUUACUUAUAAAAUUUCAUUUAAAGAAGUUAUGUUAAAACAUAUUUUAAUAAGGAUUUAUAAGUAAAUUUUUGAUAAUAUCAUAUUUUGAAUUAGAAUAAAAGGUGU